GACGAACGCUGGCGGCGUGCCUAAUACAUGCAAGUAGAACGCAGUUGCGAACGGGUGAGUAACGCGUAGGUAACUGCCUCAUAGCGGGGGAUAACUAUUGGAAACGAUAGCUAAUACCGCAUACUGUGAGAUGGACCUGCGUUGUAUUAGCUAGUUGGUGAGGUAAAGGCUCACCAAGGCGACGAUACAUAGCCGACCUGAGAGGUGGAUCGGCCCCCCUGGGACUGGGACAGGGCCCAGAGUCCACGGGGAGGAAGCGGUGGGGAUUUUGCGGAAAUGGAGGGAAGUUUGACCGGCGAACCCCGCGGGGUUGAGGAAGUUUUUCGGUUCGUAAAGCUCUUUUGUUGGGGAAACGUUAACUAACCAGAAAGGGACGGCUAACUACGUGCAAGCAGCCGCGGUAAUAC
rnacentral:rRNA from 1 species